rnacentral:misc_RNA from 1 species
CUCAUGUGAAUCAUGGAGAUAGUGAUAUCAAUUCAACUUCGCGGACAACCAGGCCAAUGCACGAGAUUACUUUUUCAACUAUUGACAAGCCAAAAACGCUCACUCAGUUGACCAAUAUAAUAUCUGAGAUUGGUCUGAACAUUGAAGAGGCCCAUGUUUUUUCAACUACUGAUGGUUUCUCCUUGGAUGUCUUUGUGGUUGAUGGAUGGCCGUAUGAGGAGACGGAGUUGCUUAAGAGUGAGGUGCAAAAGGAAGUUAUGAGGAGCAAGGAGCAGCCACAAGUCCUGCCUCCAAUCAGUGAACCAGGUCAAACAUCUGAAUCAGGCUCCGAUAGUGUAAAAAUACCUACUGAUGGAUCUGAUGACUGGGAAAUUGAUAUCCGCCUGCUGAAAUUUGAAAAUAAAGUAGCAUCUGGGUCAUUUGGAG